GCUGGGUGCAGUGGUGCAUGCUGUAGACCCAGCUACUCGGGAGGCAAGGUGGGAGGAUGGCUUGAGCCCAGAAGUUCGGGGCCGUAAUGCGCUGUGCCAGUCGGGUGUCUGUCCUAAGUUUAGCCCCUAUGUAGUGACCUCUCAGGAGUGCAGAACCCUCAGGUUGCCUAAGGAGGGAUGAACCUGACCCAGGCUGGAAACAGAGAAGGUGAAAAUUCCCAUGCUGAUCAGUGGUGGGAUGGUGCCUGUGAACAGCCACUGCACUCUAGCCUGGACAAUAUAGCGAGAACCUGUCUCU
rnacentral:SRP_RNA from 1 species